UUUAAAACCCCCCUCAAAAGUCUCCGAACACCUUCUCUCUAAAACAAUCCACACUCCAAGCAAAAUCCUUUCUGCAAUCUAAUUCGAUAUGGGUUUUAGUAAAGAAGAGAUUAGCAGAAGCAGAAGGUUUUGGUCAUCACUAUGGAGAGGAAUCAAAACUGUAUUCGUUUUGUUCACAAUGUUCCUCUCUUUUCUCCUUGUCUCUGCUCCCAUCUUCCUCGCCGUCGCCGACGCUCUCCUACCUUCCGCCCUCCUCCACCGCCUCUCUCCGCCGACGAAUCUCUCUUCUCAUCUCACCAACUACGAUUUCCGUCACUCCCUCAUCGAUAUUCCCUUAAUCUCCAUCGUUAGAUCCGCCAUUAUACUCUGCGUUUAUGGGCUCUGCGAUGGACCCAAGUUAUCGAGAGGACCGUAUCUGACAAUAACGAUGAUUUGCUCAGUUUCGUCUCUGAUCUACGUGUCGUUAAAAGCGGCGUUCGUGUUCGGCGAGCCGGCGAUCGGAGACGGCGGAGGUAAUUACUUCAGGGCGGCGGAAGUGGCUCUGUUCCUCUGCUCGUCGGUUUUAGCCAUCGGUCACAUCGUUGUCGCGUAUCGAACGAGUUGUAGAGAGAGAAGAAAGCUCCUCGUCUUCAAAAUCGACAUCGAAGCCGUUUCAGCUUGUAAUAAGAACGUGUACCCGAGAUACCAAAAGAUCCUCCAACAAGAGAGACUCAAAUAGAGACGUAUUUCAAGAGAAUUAAUACUUGUACAUAUAUAUGUAUAUAACACACACAUGACACAUACUAUGUAAAUGUGAAUAUAAAAAUACGACGUAUAAAUGUAGCUUGUUCUGCCUUUCGGUGUUGACUCAUCAACUCCUUCGCUUUUAAGUUUCAGUUAACAGAAAAAUCCACAGGAUUGUCUGUAACAGGCGGGAGGAACAGAUAAGGGAAUGGAGCCUAUAUAACCUAACGACUUUUUAAAAAAAAAUGUAAGACAACUCCGAUGAUUUAGCAGUGGUUAGCUUUAAUGUUAGAUUAGUCAGGGUAAUUUGUAAAUGAUAUAGUAUACUUUGUUUAUUUUGUGUUACCCUAGAGUUGAUCAAUGGGAAGAGGCCCAAGGCAUCUGUUUAAAUCCUCUCUCCGCUUUAUUUAUGUUUGUACUUUUUUGGUUUAAAAUCUUGUGUUUGUAAUUGCGAGCAGGCGUGAAUGCCUUUAUACGUCACCAAAAUUUAUAAAGCAACC